UACGUAGGGGGCAAGCGUUGUCCGGAUUUAUUGGGCGUAAAGCGCGUGUAGGCGGCCAGAUAGGUCCGCUGUGAAAACUCGAGGCUCAACCUCGAGACGCCGGUGGAAACCAUCUAGCUAGAGUCCGGAAGAGGAGAGUGGAAUUCCUGGUGUAGCGGUGAAAUGCGCAGAUAUCAGGAAGAACACCCGUGGCGAAGGCGGCUCUCUGGUACGUGACUGACGCUGAGACGCGAAAGCGUGGGGAGCGAACAGG
rnacentral:rRNA from 1 species